GCGGAGCCGCCGCCAUGAUAACAUGCCCGGAAGGCUUCGAGGAGCCACUGCUCCCAGACAGGUGGUUUGGGACACUCUUCCCAGCAGCUGCUGAAACCAUUUUUGGGGGAGACCCUCUCUGCCUCUCCCCUGCUCAGCACUGGCGGCAGUGUACGCUUUUCCUUGGUGGAACGGAAUCAUGCAUCUGGCCAAGCUGACAAGCCCCGUGACCCAAGUGGGAUGCAGAAGUGAUUUGAGGUCACAAGCUUGUUCUCCUGUCUCCACAAUGGCUCCCUGUUGAGGAAAUACUACGUGUCCCAGAGGCAGAGUGGAGAGAGGAACAGGUGUGCUGGCAAAGAUAGAAUGCCACGCAGCGUCCCUGAGGAGACUUUCUGCAGGCCAACUUCCAGUCUGUUUCCGGUGUCAUUCACCUUUGAACAAGCUCAUGCUCUAUUUGUGGCAGGUGGCAGAAGCACAGGAAGCCCAGCUACAGAAAUUGAGGUGUCUUCCACCACCCCCAUGGAUAGCCACUCAUUCAGUACCAAUUAUGGAAAAAGAUCAUCGUUUCCCAAAAGGACUACGGUUAUGCCAUCUGUCAUAAUCUGAUGCCAUGGGAUUCCAGUAAGCUCCCACUCACAUUACUCCAUCCCUGGCCUCCAGGGCCACAAACUGGCCCUGGCCCAUCAACUUAUUUCUUCCCCAAAUUCAAAUAGAAGCCUCCUGACACCGUGUGGAAAUGCCCUGGGAGCGGAACCAGGGCCUGCUGCUGCUGGCGACCUGGAGCUCACCAGUGUGCUGUCCUUCCUCUGGAACUGCUCCAGAAUCCUCUUUCCAAUAAACUUCCUCUUUCCCUU